rnacentral:rRNA from 1 species
GACUACGGCCAUACCACCCUGAAUGCGCCCGAUCUCGGAAGCUAAGCAGGGUCGGGCCUGGGUAGUACUUGGAUGGGAGACCUUGCAAGUCUUUUGACUGGCUCUUUUUC